UCGUAGAUAUCAGGAGGAAUAUCCGAGCCGAAGGUGCCUGCAUGGCAGUGUAUUGACGCUGAGGUGCGAAAGCGUGGGUAGCUUACAGGAUUAGAUACCCUGGUAGUCCACGCCGUUUACGAUGGAUACUAGGUGUUCGGAGCGUUAACCCUCUGAGUACCGGAGCUAACGCAUUAAGUAUCCCGCCUGGGGAGUACGGUCGCAAGGCUAAAACUCAAAGGAAUUGACGGGGGCCCGCACAAGCGGUGGAGUAUGUGGUUUAAUUCGAAGCUACGCGAAGAACCUUACCUGGGCUUAACAUUCAGUGCCAACCCUAGAGAUAGGGCUUUCCCUUCGGGGACGCUGGGAUAGGUGCUGCAUGGCUGUCGUCAGCUCGUGUCGUAAGAUGUUGGGUUAAGUCCCGCAACGAGCGCAACCAUUGCCCUUAGUUGCUACCAUUAAGUUGGGCACCCUGAGGGGACUGUCGGUGUUAAACCGCCCGAAGGCGGGGAUGACGUCAAGUCCUCAUGGCCCUUACGUCCAGGGCUACACACGUACUACAAUGGCAGAGACAAACCGUUGCGAAGCCGCGAGGUGGAGCUAAUCGGUAAAACACUGUCGCAGUCCGGAUUGAAGUCUGCAACUCGACUUCAUGAAGCUGGAAUCGCUAGCAAUCGCAGAUCAGCACGCUCCGGUGAAUACGCUCCCGGGCAUGUACACACCGCCCGUCACACCACGGGAGUGGUCAAACCAGAAGCAGUUG
rnacentral:rRNA from 1 species